AACAACAUCAUGACCCAUUCAUUUUAAGACAUCACAACUAAUGAACAAAAAUAGAUAAAUAAAAAUAACCACCAAUAAAGUUACUUUCAUUCAUUAAAGAGAUAUAACACUUAACACAUUCUUCAUUUUAAUCAAAUUAUGAAUAAAAUAAAAGUGUAAGAAAACUUAUCAUAAUAAUUACAUCAAAUUCCAUGAAUAAAUUAAAUAAGAAGAUAAAGUAAAGUUGAAUACCGCAAAAUCUUAACCGAAGCUCGAUUAGAACACGCACAACUUUUGUAGGUUGUUUGUGAUGGUAUAUGUGUUUGUGUUGAUAUGAAAAAAAUGAGUAAGGAAGAAAAGAUGUGAAUGUAGGAUUAUUGUUUGAAAGAAGAAUAAAUAAAAUGGAAGUGUUUUCUUUCUUCUUUUUUUCUUCCUGGUGUAGUAUAGUGUUUUUUUUUUUUUUCUCUCUGUGUUUUCUUCUGUCCGUUUGUCUUGCUGUGUCCUCUUUUUUUCUUCUUUUUGGGAAUGGGUGGUAUAUGUAGAUAGGGGUGGUGUGUUGUGGGAAUGGGUGUGUGGAUGUACGUGUGUGGGAGUGUUGUGUGUGGGACGUGGGUAGAUGUGGAGUGAGGAAGUGGGGUAGUGGAGUAGUGUGUAGUAUAUAUAAAUAUAAAUAUAAUAAUUAAGAUUACUAAGUAAUUAUUUAAAUUACUAUAAAUUUAAGAAAAGUUAAAUAACUAAUUAAAAAUAUAAUUAAGAAACACUAGUUUAUUUAUUAAAUAUACAUUAAAAGAAAACAUAUAUAUUUUGAACAUUUUCUUCUCUUUUGAAUUAAUUGAAAACAAAACUUAACUUAAAACAUGACUCUAUUUUUGUGGUUUUCAAAUAUUUUUACACUAAACUUACUAAAAUAUGAUAAAAAAUCAAAAAUAUUUAAUUUUAAAAUGUUAAAAGAAAUAUUUUAACCACUAAAAUUUGUGUAAAACAUCAAGUUCGGUCAAAAAUUACGUGUCUACAGUUUGCCCCUCUUUGACUGAAAACACGAAAAGUUUGCAGACAAAGAAGUAGAUAACGUGACAAAUUUUGACCGGACUUGUAUUUGAAUGAAAAAUUUGUGCGACCGAGUCUUGGGUUUGGACACCCUACAUAUCUCGGGUUAUAAGGGAAUCAGGUCACGUGUAGUUCAAGGAGAUGAGGUGAUGAGUUGGAGGUUGAGUGAGGUUCCAUCGAGGCUCCAGGUCGCGGUUCCUAUCCGAUCCUUUCAAUUAAAAAAAAUGAAAACUAAUAGUCAAAAGGAAAAUAAAUUACAAGCUCCUAUCUAUGCAGCUUUUCUUGAGUCUUUACUUUGACAUAUCACCUUGAUUUUUGUGAGUAUCUUGAUCUUGAAUGGAUUCGAGGCUCAACUUGCCACUUAGAGUGAGUUUUUGGCACUCUUCAAAAUGACAAAUUGAAAAUGUUCUUGAAUGACUGCUUGUUUUGUUGAUCAGUAAUUGAAUAGAAGUGGGUGUCAAGAGGGCAGACUGCUACCUGCAUUGAAGAAUUGGAUUCUGGCUAUCAUUGGAUUGAUCAUUCUGAAAAAAAGUUGAAACUUUGUUCUUGAAUUUCAAAUCCAUGUAGCGCUUGAAGAAACCUGAAAACCAUCACAAACAAAAGAAAUACACAAAAAAUAAUUUGCCGCAGUUUUCACUGGAAAUUUUUUGUGACUUAUUAGCAAAUGUAAAUUAAAAAUAUAAACUAAGACUAGGAAGUGUUUUAUCCUAGGAGAAAAAAGAAAAAAAAAACGGUCUCAGACUAGAAAGUGUUUAUCCUAGGAGAAAAUAACUAAAUCCCAUUAUGUAGGAAGGUCGUGCUAAUCCCAUUGUAGGAGGGUCCUGCUAAUCCCAUUGUAGGAUGGUCCUGCUAAUCUAAUAUCAUUAUGUACGAGGGUUCUGCUAAUCUCAUUAUGUAGGAGGCUCCUGCUAAUCUAAAUCUCAUUAUGUAGGAGGGUUCUGCUAAUCUAAAUCUCAUUAUGUAGGAGGGUCCUGCUAAUCCCAUUAGGUAGGAGAGUCCUGCUAAUCGCAUUAUGAAGGAGGGUCCUGCUAAUCUAAAUAACAUUAUGUAGGAGGGUCCUACUAAUCCAUUAGGUAGGAGGGUCCUGUUAAUUCUAUUAUGUAGGAGGGUCCUGCUAAUCUAAAUCCCAUUACGUAAGAGGGUCCUGCUAAUCUAAAUCCCAUUAUGUAAUAGGGUCCUGCUAAUCUAAAUCCCAUUACGUAAGAGGGUCCUGCUAAUCUAAAUCCCAUUACGUAAGAGGGUCCUGCUAAUCUAAAUCCCAUUACGUAAGAGGGUCCUGCUAAAAUCCCAUUAUGUAGGAGGGUCCUGCUAGUCUAAAUCUCAUUAUGUAGGAGGGUCCUGCUAAUCCCAUUAUGUAUGAGGGUCCUGCUAGUCCCAUUAUGUAGGAGGGUUCUGCUAAUCUAAAUCACAUUAUGUAAGAGGGUCCUGCUAAUCCCAUUGUGUAGGAGGGUCCUGCUAAUCUCAUUAUGUAUGAGGGUCCUGCUAGUUCCAUUAUGUAGGAGGGUCCUGCUAAACCAAAUCUCAAUAUGUAGGAGGGUCCUGCUAGUUCCAUUAUGUAGGAGGGUCUUGCUAGUAGGAGGGUCCUACUAAUCUAAAUCCCAUUAUGUAGGAGGGUCCUACUAAUCUAAAUCCCAUUAUGUAGGAGGGUCCUACUAAUCUAAAUCCCAUUAUGUAGGAGGGUCCUACUAAUCUAAAUCCCAUUAUGUAGGAGGGUCCUACUAAUCUAAAUCCCAUUAUGUAGGAGGGUCCUACUAAUCUAAAUCCCAUUAUGUAGGAGGGUCCUACUAAUCUAAAUCCCAUUAUGUAGGAGGGUCCUACUAAUCUAAAUCCCAUUAUGUAGGAGGGUCCUACUAAUCUAAAUCCCAUUAUGUAGGAGGGUCCUGCUAAACUAAAUUUCGAUAGGAGGGUCCUGCUAUUCUAAAUCUCAUUAUGUAGGAGGGUCCUGCUAAUCCCAUUAUGAAGAGGUUCCUGAUAAUCCCAUUAUUAGGAGGGACCUACUAAUCUAAGUCCCAUUAUGAGGAGGGUCCUGCUAUAUAGAAUCAUCACAACAUUUAUUUAUUUCUUUUUUCUUUUUUUAGCCCCAAUUUGCACCAUAAAAUUUUUGUGAGUAAUUAGUAAUGGUAAGCUUCAAAAUAAUAAAUGUCUCAAACUAAGAAGUUUAUAUAUCCCAAGAGAAAGAAAAAAAAAUGUUCAGACUAGGAAGCAUUUAUUCUAAAAGAGAGUGAAAAAAAGUAAACGUCUCAGACUAGAAUGUGAUUAUCCUAGGAGAAAAAAUAAAAACAAAUGUGAUCCAUGCAUUUUUUAUUCUUAUUUUUAUUUAUUUUUUGCAAUGAUUUUUAAAUUUGAGGUUUCCAAAUAACCUUUAUGUCAGCAUCAACAUUUUCCUUGUUUGGAAAAAGAAAGAAGAAGAAAAAAAAAUGAUAAUCACUUGUGUUGUGGCUUUCAAAGCAGCUUGACUUACAAUCUUUCCAGACUUGAUGCCAUUUUCCACCAUUUCACCAAUCUUAAUAACUUCAGCAAAUGUUUUUCCAACAACGGAAAGUAAAUAAUGAAAGUAAUCUGGUUCUUCCGCUUGGAUAAAAACAUCAAUCAUUUCAGACUCUUUCAUUUGUGGCUUAACCCUAGCAGCUUGCUCCCUCCACAUAAUAGCAUAUUCCCAAAAAUUUCCGUUGGUCUUCUUUCUCAUGUUGACAAGUGAAGUACGAUCUGGAACUAUGUCAAUGUUAUAUUGAAAUUGUUGAACAAAACAUCGAGCCUAAUCAUCACAUGUAUGCCAGUUAGAAAUAUCUUGCUCUAUGAACCAUUCUGAGGCAAUUCCCAUCAAACUUUCCCCAAAACAAGUCAUGAGCAAUUCUUCUUUGUUUCCAGCCCCUCUCAAUUGAUUACAAUAUCUCUUUAAAUGAGCUACAGGAUCUCCAUGUCCAUCAUAUUUCUCGAACUUUGGAGUUUUAAAACCGAUGGGCAGAUGAACAUGGGGAAACAUGCACAAAUCAUUGAACGAGACACUUUUGUGACCUCCUAAUCCUUGCAUAUAUCUUACACUCUGUUCCAAACUCUUCAUUUUUCUAGCCAUUUCUUCAUGUUCCUCGUUCUUAACAGUUUUUUCAGCCUCAACAUGGGAACUAUACUGAUGAGUGUGAGGGUAAAAGCUUGGAAUUUUAAAAGUCAAUUCAGGAGUAUAAUCUCGAUCAUAUUGAACUUUGGGUGGAGGAUCAUUGUUGGAUUUUAGCUCCAUUAUAGGUUGUUGAACGACAUUAGUCGGCGUAGUUGGAAUAAAUAGUGGAUUACUUGUCAUAGGCGUACUCAAAAGGCGCACCAUAGAUGUUCCAGCUACGUUGGAUGCGGGACCGAAUCCAGGUGGAUAAAUUGGAUCACUUAUCGAUACUUGGAUAGGGGUGACAUAUUUGUAUUUAGAUAGUGACGGAUUGAAGGCGGUGGAGCUUGUCCACUUAUCCAAGCUUCGUACAUCUCCGUCAUUUGCUAUCUUAAUAUCCUUAUCUCUUCGACUGACACUGUUUCUUGUGACAUCAUCUGGUUCUGGUCCUCAUCAUUGUCCGACUCAUUUCCGUCUUUGUGAGUCAUUUUCUUUUUCCCUUUUGACCUUGUAUUGUAGGGAUGAAAUACCAGCUUAAACACAAAUCAAACACCUUAAUUUAACUGUGCAUGGAUAAUAAUGCUUAUUAGGGUCAGUCUUCUUCAGUUAUAAGUUGUUUUUUUUAAAUGAUUUAAUAAUGCAUCCAUCAAAUCCAUUUUAGAUUCUGUACGUAAUACGCUUGCGAACAUAACUAAGAUCUUUGCAUAUUUUUUUCAAAAACUCAAUAACUAAGCUUUUCUUUUUUAGAAUUUUGAGAUAAAAUCCUUUAGUUUUUUUUUAUUUGAAUUAUUAAAAGAAAAUUAAUAAAAAAUUCUUUUUAAUAAAGAUUAAAGUUUCUUGUUUUUUUUUUGUUUUUUUUUGAAUUUUUGAACAAAGAUUUUUAUUUUUUUAUUUUUAUUUUUUUGAAUAAAGAUCACCGAACCCAAAGAGGGUUGUCUACGUAUCUCAUUGAGGUGAGAAUCAGGUGUGCGUAGUUCAUCCAGAUUGUACAGUAAAAAAAACUUUUAAGAUAUUAAAUUUUUUUUAUUUUGACAAAUGUAACUUUUCAAAGUUUUGUGAAAGUAAAAUAUUUUGAAUUUUAUUUUUACAAACUUUAUGAAAAAAAAAUCUAAAUAAAAAUAUUAUUAUUCUUUUCAUUAAGUAAUGCAAAUUUUUACUUUAUUUUAAGAAAUGUAUAAUAACUUCUAAAAGAAGAAAUAUUUUCGUGUUUUCUCCUUCUUUUUUUUUUAAAAAAUAAGAUCAAAAGAUAAUGUUUUUCAUUGUAUUAGUCAUAUUAAAAAGCGUCAACUUAUAAAGACUUUCAAAUAAAUGCAUUUUCAUGUAACACAUAAAAUGAGCUAAGUGGUCAAGUAAGAGAGGGAUACUUGUCCUGAACGGACCCAACUCUUGUUUUGAGGAUCACUAAGUCACAUGAAAAUGAUGCAAAUAAUCAUAGUCUUCUAGUGAUAAUUAUGUCUAUGUUCUAGUUUUACUAGGUUCAAACCUGAAUAAGAUACCUAUCUAGACUGGCUUACCCAAGUAGACAACUCAAGCUAGGGAGGGACAACUUAUCGAAAGCAGUGUUAUUUCGACUUCAUUACUGGUCCAUCCCGCCUAACAUAUGUGACUAAAUAUCCUUCACUGGGUGUCAAGAAACUCCAGCUUUAUCUCAAGGGAAAAUAGGAUGCAUAACUGCAUUCCUAUGAACGUGUUAUGUGUAUUCAAAGACCCAUAAGGUGUGCGUGAGAAAAAUGAAUUUAGUAUAGUUCAACAAUAUAAAUAUAAAAAGCAAUAAAUGAGUAGCAAGUAGCACAUUAAGCCAUCAAAAACAAUAUAUCCAAUAAAUAAAAUAAUAAAAUCAAGUAAAAGUCAAUAUAACAAAGCUCGAAUUCUGGUUAAUUCCCAGCGGAGUCGCCAAAGAUGUCACACCCCUUUUUCGCGCACAGCGGCAAGGGUUUUUCCAAUUUGAGUGAUGGUAUUGAUUAAAAGAUUAUUUUAUUUUUUCAGAGUCGCCACUUGGAAUUGAAUUAUGGUGUUCCAAGUCACCUAUUUGUUUAAUCCCUACUCAAAAGAAAAUGACUCUUUAGUUUGGUCUGCGAACUAGAAAUUCGGGCAAGAAAUUCUAUUGACCGAAGGGAAGGUAUUAGGCACCCCUCAGAGUUAUGGUGUUCCAAGUCACCUUUUGUUUAAUCCCUAAUCAAAAGGAAAUGACUCUUUAUAUGGUUUGCGAACUAGAAAUUCGGGUAAGGAAUUUUGUUGACCGAGGGGAAGGUAUUAGGCAUCCCUCGAGUCCCGUGGUUCUACCACGGUCGCUUUUAUUGACUUAUACUUACUUUAAAUCAUUUGGGGAUAUAUUCUUUUCAGGCCAUGACUUGUUUACAUUUCUACUGUUGAACUUUUAUUUAGUCUCAAAUCGGAUGCAUAACUGCAUUCUCGACUUUUGACAUAUAAAUAGCUUAUGAGCAUAAUUGUUUUCUUCUCUCGAGUGCAUCACCUAAUUUUAUCUAUAAGUGAUCUUAUUUUAAAUUAAUGAAAGUUAUUAUAUUUUUGGACAAGGUGCAUCCCCGCAUCCUUGAGUUUUUUUUCAAUGGCUAAAAAAAAAUGCGCAACCGCAUUCUUAAUCGAAACAAAUAAUUUUAACGUGCAUAAAACUCAUCUAGUAUUAAAAGUACCUACUCUUAUUUUCCUGAAUUCUAGACAACUAAUCUUCUCAUUUCAUUAUUAUAUUUAUUGAUGAUGCUUUUAAUUCAAUUAAUCCACAUGUUAAAAUAUAUAUUAGAAUAAUUUAUCAAGGUGUGUCAUCACAUCCUUGAAUUUCUUUUAAGUGUUUCAAAAAAAGAUGUGUAACCACAUUCUUAAUUGAAACAAAUAUUAUAUUUUUUACAUGCCUAUAACCCAUCUAAUGUUAUAAGAAAAUAUUAAAUAAAAUCAAAUAAAACAAAACAAAUCUAAACUUCUAGGAUACAAUAUAAAUUUUGGAUUAUCUUAUAUUCUUUUAUUUUUAUUCACCCUUAAAGUUAAUGUUAAAAUUAGGCCUACACAUAUUAUAUUUUUAUUUUUAUUUUUAUCUUGAAGUUAAUGGCGAAAUUAGGCAUACUCAUAUUGUACUUUUUUAUUAAUCCAACAAAACAAUGACGAAUUGGUAAAAUAAAUAUCAUUCUUUAUUUAAUAAAUAAAACAAUAAUAAUUUUGUGAACCCAAUAAUUCUUACUUUAUCAUUAUUAGCAUCGAAAUCAAGAAAUGAACAACAUCAUGACCCAUUCAUUUUAAGACAUCACAACUAAUGAACGAAAAUAGAUAAAUAAAAAUAACCACCAAUAAAGUUACUUUCAUUCAUUAAAGAGAUAUAACACUUAACACAUUCUUCAUUUUAAUCAAAUUAUGAAUAAAAUAAAAGUGUAAGAAAACUUGUCAUAAUAAUUACAUCAAAUUCCAUGAAUAAAUUAAAUAAGAAGAUAAAGUAAAGUUGAAUACCGCAAAAUCUUAACCGAAGCUCGAUUAGAACACGCACAACUUUUGUAGGUUGUUUGUGA
rnacentral:lncRNA from 1 species